CUUGUUCAUUUAGAGGAAGUAAAAGUGGUACCAAGUUUUCGGUAGUUGACCUGGCGGAAGGAUCAUUAUUGAAGUCUGGUGGUGGUUGGCCUUUUUCUGGCAAGGUCCACCCUUAAUUCAAACCCCCCUGUCCCCUUUUGGUAGCCGGAUUUUGUUUUGUCUAUCAAUCAUUUACUCCCGUGUAAUCAGAAUGUUAUUGAUUGGCCUCAGUGCCUUUAAUCAAAUAUUAUACAACUUUCAGCAACGGAUCUCUUGGCUCUCGCAUCGAUGAAGGACGCAGCGAAACGCGAUAAGUAAUGUGAAUUGCAGACACGUGAAUCAUCGAAUCUUUGAACGCACCUUGCGCUCCUUGGUGAUCUGAGGAGCAUGCCUGUUUGAGUGUCAUUAAAUUCUCAACCUAACCAACUUUUGGAUAGGCUUGGAUUGUGGGGGCUUUUGCUGGCUUCAACCCCUCAGAAGUCAGCUCCCCUUAAACGCAUUAGUGGAACGAUUUGUUGACCUUGUUUCCUGGUGUGAUAAAACCUUUAUCACCACCGUGUGCAGUCAGCUUACUCUGCUUCUAACCGAUUUUCAUUCACUCUUGACCAUUGACCUCAAAUCAGGUAGACUACCCG
rnacentral:rRNA from 1 species